UCGAUCCACUAUAGUGUACACUACAUGACGUAGUACGGAGGGGCGGAGCGAGAAAGAGAGACUUCGGUCAACUUCGGAAAACCUCGGUUCAAAACUGAACCGAAAAUGCAAGCCUUGCUUUAAUUGUUUUCUGUCAGUGUUUAUAUGUAUUGAUCUAGCACAGUGUAAAUAACAUGAGUUCCAUUAUAGUAAAUAAUACAGAAAGAAAUUGAAGGAAAAC